UAUCAAGCAUAGGUCGCUGUAGGCCAUAUGGGAUGGUUGUCCUCUUAACCAAGGAGUGUAGAGAUACUGGUAUGGCAUACAGGUAAGAUAUAAGGGUACAUCAUCAUUGAACGUGACCAACUCCAGAGUAUUCUGCUGUCGAGAAUAUCUCUGAUGGGAUAUAGGUAUAAGUGUUCUUUAGACCUGAGAUCGCCUUAGUGACUUGCAGGCAACUCACUGUGCUUUGGUACUGGACUAACUGAAUUUCUAAUUCAGUGACGGAAGGCUUCUGGGCACAGUCAAGUACUUGUAAAGUUAGAGUAUGAUCA
rnacentral:lncRNA from 1 species